AGGUCUAUGUGGUCGCCACUGGUUUGGAGAUCCUACUAAUUGAUGCAGGUCGAAAGGCAUCUCGUUCGGCGUCUAGACUUCUGAAGCGAAGUGGUUUCUGGGUUAUUUUGUUGUACAAUGAUGUAUAAAUAUGUACUUAGCUUUCUCUCCGCAUAACUUAUUCUUUUGAUCCUCUUAGAGGUUUAUGGAGAGACAGGAUUUUGUUUAUGUACAUUUGGGUUUUGGAUAUGUAUAUAUAUGUGUGUGUAUAUUCUCUGGCCAGUCUUGACUUCGCGGGCUGAGUUAGGAGCUUGUUAUUUUGUAUCUUUAACCCUCUGUUCCUGGUUUUGGUUACUUUAUAUUUAACAGUUAUAGCUUUCUUAGUAA